AGCGCCAUCUCUGGGGUAAAGUCUCAGAAAAAGUGUCGGUCGAUCCACCGAUCGUUGUAGAAGGGUAGGGGUGCCUGUAUCAGGGGGUUGGGAAGUCAGUCAGACGUAUUAAUGGACCCCUUUGUCUUUAGGAAGAAGCAAGUGCAUGCAAGUGACGAGAUGAAAUAGUACAAGGCUGCAAAGUAUUGUAUUGUAUGCAUCCCAUCUACUUUCUGCAUUUUGCACCGAGAGGCAAAGAAACGACCAUACCAGACGAAGGUUUUCGAAAUUGCAGUUAAUGUAGUUUGAAUACCCAGUUUAUGGAUGGUGACUCGUAUACUGCUAAAAGUACCGUAGGAACUUUGAGAGAAAAAUCCAAUCAUGGUUUCUUCCGAAAAGAAGAAAGGAACAAAGAGAAUUAUAGGAAAAAGAAUGAGUAUUCUAUUACUCUGACUCUGCUCUGUCAAGAGUGAAACGCGUACCCCCUACUGUUUUACGAACGCACCUUACUAUUUUAAGAGAGAAAUUGCGCAAAAACCAUCUUAAAACCAUAUGGUGCGUUCGUAAAACAAGAGGGGUACGCGCUUCGUUCUUGCUCUUUAGACAAUCGUUAUCGUAGUAAACGAUAUCGAUAUAUCUAAAAGAAGCGAUAUAUCUAUUCGAGUACAGAUAUAUCGCCAACCAGUGUUGCCAACUAGCCGGGAUUUUGGAGUGGCACCCGGGAGAAACGCCGGGAUUUGACCAAACCCGGGUUUUUUCCGGGAAUUUUGCCUAAUAAAAUAUUUUUUGUGUGUGAUACUAUAUAAAUCGUAAAAUCGAUGUUUUUUUACACUUUAAAUCCCAUUUUUUGUAUAGUUUUUUGAAGACCUUAUCAAUACUCGAUAGGUGUCGUUGGUUGCAUACCUAUGUUAUUAACAAUUUAACAUAUCCCUUAUCCUAGUCAUAUCCCUCACACAAUCAUUGUGACACAAUGUCAAUUGAAUAAUUUUCAAUUCCCACAUUCUAAUCAAAAUGCUUUUUAAUUUUGUCCUUGUCAUUUCAGUAAUUAAUUGCAACAAUUGUUUUGCGAUUCAUUUAAUGUGAUAUAAUCCAGAGAGAUCUCGUUCGUUUAAUGCAGUAUUUGUCUUCCAAUAAACAAGCAAGUGUUUCCGUCGUUCAAAAAACAGCAAAAACAACAUUUAAAUUCAUUUAAACUGAAAACCGGGAUUUUUUCCAUCAAUUUCCGGGAUUUUUUAGAAAAAUCAGAAACCGGGAUCGUUCCGGGAUUUUUUUAACGACAAAACCGGGAAAACGGCCAAAAGUAGUUGGCAACGCUGUCGCCAACAGUACUUUCCAUUCUUGGUCUGUGGUUGAGUGUUACCUUUUGGUAAUCGUCUGGGUAAAUAAAUGUAAAGUAUUCGCAUGGUAUUCGUGAUUGUGCAAUUCAAUUGUAUAUUCACUAUUUUAUGAUAAAAGUACCAUGAGAGGCAGCAUCUGAGAGAAUAUUUUGAUUUUGCGUUAGUAACUGAACCAGAAUUGAACUUACUUGUUCAAUGGUCCUUCAAUGGUCCAUUUUCUCGUGGCGUCGAUUGAGCGGAAAUGGAGGUCUCCAGAAAACGGAAUUUCUCUGGUGAUUCCCUGACGUUGCAUAAACUGUUUCACAAUUCUUGCAAAUAGCCUGGCAAAAAUCUGAUCUGAGAGGCAUCACACCGCACUUUGAAAAUAAUGACUGAGUAUUACAUGUGUAAGAGUGUGAUAUCUUCACAACCAAAUUUCUAGCAACUCAGCAUUUGAUUAACACAACUGUGAGGAAGGACUCAGCCUAGAGAUUGAGAGCCCUAAGCAGAUACAACUAGCCCAUACAAGUUGUAGCACAAAGAUUGUUCAACCAUGAUUCUUCCUGAACACUUAAGCAGUAUGGAAUGCUUGACAGAGGAUGAGUGUUAAAGAUGCCAAAUGUGAAACAUGUGGAAAAGGUCUGACAAAAUCUGUAGGCAUUGGGAUUACACAGAUUUGGAACUUUAGGUUAUCGAGUUGGUUAUUUAAAGGCAGUAAUAAUUGUGCUGCAAACAAUUUGCAAAGCAUGCUCAUCUGUUCUUAUUGACAAGAUAAGAAAAUUGUAAGUGUAAAAUUAAGGAACCCAAAGAUUACUUACAGAGGAUGUUGUUGUCGAACAACCUGCAGCCCAUUGGUCAGAGAAACAUAUUUUUAUUCUUGUUCUAUUCUUGGAAUUCAUAUGAAGCUCAAUUUGAAAACCAAGGGUAAAGACGAUUUGCUACGUGACUACGGAUAGGAUUUCACCGUGCGAGCCGAGGAUUCUCCUGCCAUUAGAAGUUUUACAAGUGGUAAAAUGCUUUUUCAGUUGUCAAGUUUGUUUCGAAUUUUAAUCACUCAUCCUGUUUAUCGGGAAAAAUACUGCCGACAAAAAAGUAUAUACAUUUGGACAAUGGUUUUGCCAAGUGCGAUGAAUACAUUCAUCUUUUCACAGGUCAGAUGCUUUGGCUUCCCGGUUGCAAUGAAGAUGUAUUACCGAGUCUAAAAUAUUAAAAGGUGGUACCGCAUUAUGUGUUCCUAUAUAUAUAUAUAUAUUAAACUACUAAUGUAUGGGUAGAAUUUCCUGGAAUUUGUUAUGAGGCCUGAUAGGUUUGCGAAAACGUGCAGCAUCCAAGUAACAGCCCAUGGUCAUAUCCAAAAGCGGGUCCAGGGGAUCUUGUAUUAAUGUGUCCCAAAUGAUUGCUUGCGUCGGCCUGCAAGCCUAGCUGGCAAUCGAGCAGCCGCUCGAUGGCUGUGGUUUUGAAGAUCACACUUUGCCCCAUUUAAAGCGAUAUUUCAAAAUCCCCUUUUCAUGGGGCUGAACAGUUUAAAGAAUUCAUUGACGCCCUAAGGUCACCCGUAAAUUUGUUUACUCCACCUAGCUUCUAAUCGAUGACAACCCUGAAUGCUCGGAGGAGUAAAUUUGAAACAAAAAUAUUCCUUUCAGUUUUUUACUUUUGUGUUUUGAUAGGUGAUGGAAUAUUUCGAAGAAGUAUAUCUGCACGAUGACCGUUUCAUGUUGGUUAAAUUGGACACGAACAUAAUACGUCUGCUGAAACAAGUGGUGAAAGAGAAUUCUAUUUAUUAGAGGUAGAUAUGUUCUGGUAUUACAAAAUUUUUCAAUUGAUUUCGGAUUUAAGUGUUCGUGCCUGCCUGUGAAAGCAACGACACCAGCCCCGCGCUACUGUUGGGGGGUUCAAUGUCUGCAUACCGGAAGUGUCUCCCCAGGAAAUAAAAAAUAUGAAGACCUUUUUAGAGAGUUAGAUUUCGAGGAGUUAUGUAACAAGUGCAAAAAGAGUGUUUCGGAUUGUUUUAGGUUGUUAAAGCAAGUUUGACUUUCUACGAUGUUUCCACCAACGUGCAUGGUCGCCAAACUUUGUCGUUGUGUCAGACUAUUAAUACGGAAGAAAAACGUUGAAUUAUUGGCGAUACGUUGGUCAAAGUGGCUGAUAAAACGGCUAACGAUUUAAAUCUCACUUGGAAUAAUCUACUUCUCAGACAAGGCAUCAACCUUCUCCUUUUUUUUUGCAUGUAUUGUGUUCCGUAAUAUUCAAUGUUAUCAUAAAUGAAAAUGUAACAGGUACUUUAAGCCCGGAUUGAAUUGAUCUGGUAUGAUAAAUAAUUAUAAUUGAUUAAG